AUAUAUAUAUAUAUAUAAUUGAGCUAUUAUGUUUUUAAAAGUAUCAAGUCAUUGGUGCUUGUAAGUUUUCGGCCCUUGGAUUAAGGAAUAUGUGGUUAGAAUGAUGUGGGCCCUCUAGGGUUGAGUGAGUGAUUGGUUUAAUAGUAUGAUCUAACGGGUGAAAAUAAUCAAAGACGUAGGUUUAACGGUAAAAAAUUUACAAGCACCAAGUGGUUGGUACUUUUACAAGCACUAUAGCCAGACUCAUAUAUAUAUAUAUAUAUAUAUACAUAUAUAUAUAUAUAUAUAUAUAUAUAUAUAUAUAUAGUACGUCUCCCGUGCUUUCGAAAGUAUGGAGGUCUCCGUGCUUGUAAGUUGUUUUCGAUGAUAGGACAUCCGAUUCGAUGAUCGGCUCCGUUAGACAUAAUCUAUGCUAUUGGAACUAUUUAGAAACCAAAUUUUAUAAAUUUUUGACAUCAUUUACCAAACGAUCAUAGGGUCUCAAAAAUGACUAUUUUAACGGCCGAUGCGGCACGUUUUUAAGUUCAACGGUGUAGAAGUAUUCAAAUUACAUGAAACUUUAAUAGAAAAUUCUACUUAACAUCAAGAGCAAGAACAAUACUUCCGAUUUGAAAUUUGACUCCUUUAUCACUGUUUUUUAUGAGAUUUUUAUUUUUAGCUGUUCAUUUUGAGGUUACUCGUUCACCAGACAAAUGAAGUAAAAAUAUUAUAAAAUUUGGUUUGUAGAUAGUUCCAAUAGCGUAGAUCAUGUCUAACGGAACCGAUCACCGAAUUGAACGUCCUAUCAUCGAAAACAACUUACAAGCACGGAGGCAUCCGUACUUUUGAAAGCAUAAAGCCUAGCUCUCUCUCUCUCUCUCUCUCUCUCUCUCUCUCUCUCUCUCUCUCUAUAUAUAUAUAUAUAUAUAUAUAUAUAUAUAUAUAUAUGAGUUCGGCUGGGAUACUAUCGAUAGCACGAUACAUUUGGUGCUAUUAAGUUUUCUGCCGUUAGAUUUAUCUCUUUUAUUAUUUUUAACCGUUCGAUUAUACUAUUCAACUAACCACCCACUCAACCCUCGGGAGCCCACAUCAUUCUAACCACACAUCUUUUAAUCCAAUGGUAGAAAACUUAAUAGCACCAAGUGCCUCGUGCUAUUAAUAGUAUUCCAGCCUAGUUCUAUAUAUA
rnacentral:lncRNA from 1 species